AAUAAGGAGACAAACACUUUACACCAGAGAAAAUGAAGAUCAGUACAUCCUACAGAAAGAACCUUAAACAGAGUAACUGACAGGAAAGUAUUCCCACGUGGAAAGCUGCAGGCAGUCUAUAACCUGAGUGGGAGCUCCCAAACCGAACUUUCAUAUUUUGUAUAUUUUUUUUUUCUCCAGAUGUGACAUCUGCUCCUUUAUACUCUUCAGAAGAAAAAAAAAUGACUUUUCACAUAAAGCCAUUCAGUUACAACUGAGCAGAGCAGAGAUUUCAGAAAGGCAACACUGGUCUAGUACAACAAUUCCAACAGAGCACUAUGCUAGACCAGGAAGCCACACUACUGCUUCCCCCACACCACUGACUCAGCACAUAACAUUUGCUCUCAUUUGUAUAAUUAACUGGAUUUCCCAGAACUGAAAGAAAGGAAAGGCAAACUUUAUUCAGUAGAGAACUAGACUACCAGGAAGGAAUUACACUCUUGAAUGAAUUUUCCCAUAAAGACUGUACAGCUGACACCAGACUACUGUCAGACUUAGGAAUGGGAAUUGAUGCUACUGGAAUAUUGCCCUUUCAGAAAACACUUAUAAUAGUUAUAAUAGAGCCAUAAUAGUUUUUGCUAGAACUGCCAGAAAGCCCCAGAGAGAGCUGGUUACUUAGAUGUAAGCAAGCUAGGAAAACAGAAUAAAAGCUUGUGCACAAAGAACAUUUGGCCCACAGAUAAAUACUAUCCAAAAUUCCAAGGGCAGCGCAGGCGUACCAAAGAGUCAGGAAUCUUAGGUCAGCACAGGACAGCACAAGAAAUGUGUCACAGAGCUGAGCAGAUCCCAAACCCGUUUCUUCCUGCUAUCAACAGUUUGCUUUCAGCAAGGCUGCAUUAAAGAAAAAGGUGCACUUAGACAAGGAAAACCACAAACCAUGGACUUCCCUUUUCCAAAGAAUGGUACAACUUGGUAGUUGCUUAAACAAGUUGAUACCACUGUCAAGUUCCUUGAAGCUACACAAAACAGAAGCCAUCAGCCUUCCAUGCACUUUACCCUACCAUGUAGGUCAUCGACAAUGUUUAAAAUUAACCAAGGUGAAGAUCUUGUGCUUUUUACAUGAAUAAGUAUUUCAGGGAAAAAAAACAUUUGCUGCUCAGCUACAAGCAGCACUAUCACCAGCAGUACACAGAAGGGUCUCCAUGCACACUGUAAGGCUCAAAUGGUUCCUUCAAAUGUGACAAGUGGUGUUGGUUGCUACUCCAGUUUCCUAAUGUGCAUCAGCUCCACACCUCCAGCACCUGCCCCUGUGCCCUCCUGCUAAUCCAGAACACCAAGAACUCCACCUGAGCUCAGACCUGCACAAUAGAGGAAAGGAUGGGAGAACCUUGGAAAAACCUGACCCUUCCUGUGUAGUCCUAUAAAGCAAAUGUCUUUUCAGCACACCAAAUGGGCUUGAGAAUAAAAGGCAAAGCUACGUGUGCCAGUGCCUCCAUGCACAGGCAGGCAAUGCUCUCCUCUCCGAGCAGGGCAAGCCCUGGAAGUCAGCUGAACUUCUGAAAUAGCUGCAGGCCAAAAACACCUGCAAACCAAACAUUCUGCAGCUCCAUCACCUCCCAUUCAGUGUCACCAGCACAACACCCACGUGUCAAAAGGGUCUGUGGAUCCCGUGAAAGACAUUUAAAGAUCAAUGACUACACCACAGCUGAAUAAAAGCAACAAAUUACUCUCGGACCAUCUUACAGGAUCUGACCCAUCAGCUUCGGAACUUCACGAAGCAGUCACCUACUCUCAGCUGUAGUGCUACAUCUGUUUAAGUGUACCCAGGAAGGCUGAUUAGCUCACGAACGGAAACGAACAGUCCUCAAUCCAACAGAAAUUGCUUCAGUAUGCAGGAGAAACGACGGAAAUGAACAAAACAGAGCAGGAAACUGUGCGAAGGAAACGCAAACGGACAUAAUCCAUGUAACAGGUCUGAGGAGGUCCCCAGGACGGGAGGAAUGUGGCAGAGACGGCCAGCCCGGAGCAGCCGCAGGGGCCCCGGCCGAACCUCGGGGACACCGCGGGACCUCGAGAGGGACAAGAGGCACGGGGACAGGAGAAGGAUCCAUGAUACCUGGAGGAGGUCGCCCGUCGUUUAUGUUGAAGGCUGUUGCAAAUAUACCAAAGGGAAAUGCCCCAAUUCCAAAUGACAUCUGGAAGCCACCAUCGCCAAACCCAAAGCCCUGGAA